ensembl:lncRNA
AUUGCAUGUUUUUGAGGCACUGGGAAGUUCCAAUGUAACACUUAACCACUUAUGGCUCUUGUGGGUGUGUCUGUUUAUCCAACACGGGACUUACCAGAGCUUUCAUUUGGUUUUUGAUCUUUUUUGUUGUAUUGUGAAGAUGACGUUAGGUUCGAGGUUCAUUAUUUAGUUGCCUCAAGUUUAAUCUAGUUGUGUUUCACUUGCAUCUUCUGGUUAUGCAUUUCUUGUCUGUGAUUUCAGUUUGUCAAGUUUGUAUUGUUAUAACUGCGUCUCAUGUUUCCUUUUUUUAUUUUGAAGAGGUCUCGUGUUUCUAUGUUCAUUGGUUUUAGUUUUACUCUUCCACUGUGAUGUUGUUAUGUUCAUUUGUGUCAGCUGUUUCCACUUCCCCUGAUCACCUCCUGUGUGCUUUUAGUCUGUGUGUGUUUGUUGGUUCAUUCUUUGUCUGAGCGUCUGUUAUUCUACUUUGUCUCCAUGUCAUGCCAUGUCUGCAAGAUUAUGCAUUCAUGCCAGGUCUCUAUGUCCACGUCCAUGUUCCAGGGUUUUGUUAUGUUUAGCUCACCCAGUUUAGUUUAUGAUUUAGUUUUGUCUUUGUCUUUGCCUUUGUUUUUUUGUUUUUUGUUUUAUUGCUAAGAUCAGCCAUAAAUGGCUUGUUUUCAGUUAACAUUAAGUUUUGUUAUUUCACGUGUCUGCACUUGGGUCCACCUUCUUCACUCUAUACAGUCUGCCUCAGCCAGAUUGUGACAGGACUGGACACUUCCACAUCUGUGCAUUGUUAUACAGUACUUUGGUACUAUUAAGUGCCCUUUAACUAAGUACAUAUGGCUUUUCAAUUCUCACAUUUUCUUCUCACUUGUCUUCCUCUUAUCUUUUGUUCCAUUCCUCUCACUCUGUUUAUCCUUCUCGAUCAUACACUUUAUACGCCUCAUAUUUUGUCCGUUCUAUUUUUCACUCGAACACUACAUUCAUGAUAUAGAUAAAUGUAAUGGUCCACUGGCUGGGAGUGCUCUGCAGCCUUUUCACUUUCUCCCUUUGCCAUCUAACUCAUGAAGAAAAUGAUCACCAGCGAGUGGUGCUCUGUAGGAGUGAGUGACAACAGCUUCAGUUUAAUUCAAUUUAAUUCAAAGCAAGUGACUCAGUUCCUGUGUCAAAUAUGUAGAAACAGUAUGUUAGAUUAACAGCAUGUUAAAAAGAAGACAAAACAUUUUCAGACAACUACAGAAUAUUGUGUUUUUUGUUUGUUUGUUUUUACUGAGCUUUAAGAUUCUGUGUGUGUGCCCACAAAAUAUAUGAAUAAUGUCAGCCAAGAUGCAGUUUCCUCUUCUUCCUGCGUUUUUACUUUUUUUUUUUUUUUUUUUUUUUUUUGGAUUAAUUUGAUCAUUUAGUUUCUAAAGACUUGGCAACCACCAUCAGCAGCCCGUCACCUUUAUGGACUUUUCAUGGAGCGAGUAGGAGUAGUUCACAUUGAUCUUUAGCAACCGAUCGCUAGUGGGUGUGCACUGAUAGCUAGCACCACAGUUUGUCUUCCACUGUGACCGCCAUGGCAAAAGAGUGGGAGGCACUUUGGAUCCACUCCAUGUCCCCUUAUUGACCUUUAGUCUGUCGAUGAAAAUGCUCCUCUUUGCUUAAUGCACCUUGGCAGGGCUUAAAUGUACCUUUUAUAAUGUCAGUACCUUGCUUGAGCUGCUGCUUUUCGAAGGUUCUUAUUUUGUGUGUAAAUAUAGAUGUUUUGCCAUUUUAUUUUGAAGGAACUAUGUUCUGCUUUAUGUCUGAAAUGGCUCAAGGUAGAGAAAGUUGUUUAAAAAUUAAAUAAAUAAAAGGACUCAUACAUAAGAUCUGAGCAUUACAAAAAGCAGCCCUCACACACCAAAACAGUAUCACAGCCCUCCAUGACAACCAGUGCAAAUUGUGUCACAAAUUAUAUGUUAACUAAAAACGACACAGUUAAUCACCAAUUUGCAUAACUU